GACCAGCACCAAAUGGUAUAAGCUCAAAAUCAUUUCCUCUCACAUCAAUGGAACUGCCCAGGAAUCUAUCAGGAUCGAACUCAUAUGGGUUCUCCCAAGCUUCUGGGUCCCUUCCAACAGCCCAAGCACUCACGUAAACUAAGGUCUUGGCUGGUAUUUCGUACCCUCCUACGGAACACUCCUUGGUUGUUUCUCUUGGGAUCAGUAGAGGUGCUGCUGGUUGCAAUCUCAUGGUCUCUUUAACCACAGCUUUCAGGUAAGGCAAUUGUUGAACAUCAUCUUCAUACACAAAACCUUUAUUUCCAAAUAAAUUUCUAACUUCUUCUUGAGCUUUUCGCAUUGCUUUAGGAUUCUUCAUUAGAAAGGUCAUGGCCCAAUUCACAGUAACUGCACUUGUGUCUGUCCCCGCAAGAAAUAUGUCCUGCAAGGACGCAAAAGAAAGUUAAAUUGAGAAUAAUACUACAAAAAUAUAUACCAUUUUUUCCUGUAUUAUUUACUGAGAACUAGAUAUACACAAAGAUUAUUAAACCUUGCUGGGCUUAAUCAAUUAAAAUAAUAUUAUUUUAAAUUAUUUUAAAUUCAAUAUAUUUUAAUAAAGCUGAUCAAAUUCUAAAUUGAAUUGUCAAGUAGUUUAAUUUGACCAAGUCAAUUAUCACUUGAAUUUUUUUAAAUUCAACUUAACUACAUCUUAGAUUAACCUAGCAGGCCUGACCAAGUUAAUACAAGCUCGAGUUUCUUUUUCAAUCGGCCAUCUACUUGGUUUUAAAAUACAAAUUAACGAAUUAUUAUUUUUUUACCUAACCAAAAUAUUCUCUCCCUCAUUUAAAUUUAAAUUGAAUCUAAAUCUCGGACUUGGAAAUUCGAACAUUGUACUGAAUAACAGCUAUCACUUGGAAUUGAGAAUAAAGAAAAGUAAUGAACAUUGAAUACAAGAUGAAAUUACUUGAGUUUAGAAAUUAUUAGAUUACCGUUAGAAUUGCUUUGAUGUGAUCCAGGGUUAGCUGAACUUUAAAUGAGCCAUCCUUGUAUAUCUGAAGCAAAAAAUCAAGUAUAGUAUCCUCCCUCUCGGGCUUAGGCCUACUUGGAUCAAGAUUGUCAUCAAUGAUUCCUUUGUAGAAAGCAUCAAAUUCCUUGAAACUCUUUUCCAGACGAUAUGACAGUCCGGUUAGUUUAUCGACGAGCCAGCCCAAGCAAGGAAAAUAAUCCGAAAGGAAAAAGCUUGAAACCAUAGCCUGGAUUUCGUGAAGCAGCUCUAGGAACCUAUUUUUAUCGCUUCCUCCAAUUUCAUACCUUUUUCCAAAGGCAAGUCUGCAUAUUGUUGUGCUUGUGAGAGACACCAAUUCUUCAGUCAAGUUGAAUGGUUUAGAAGCAAGAGCUGAUUUGGAUAUGUUUUCAAUCAUACGAGAAACCUCAUCUUCUCUAAUGGGACGGAAACUUUGUGCUCGAAUUGAGCUAAAGACAUGAACGACACAUAUUUUUUUCAACUCCCUCCAAUAAGCUCCAUAUGGUGCCACAGCCAAGUCUAAGCCAUUGUAGGAAAUUUUUUGCAUGCCAGUCAAGGCAGGCCUACUACAGAAUUCGAGGUCAUGAGUUUUCAAUAUCUCUCUAGCCAUUUUGGCUGAAGAGACUAUCAGGGCUGGCUUGAAACCUAGCCUCAAGUACAUGAGGGGGCCAUGUUUUUGAGAGAGUUUCCAUAGAUACUGAUGAAGGUUGGAAUUGCCAAGCUGGUGUAAGUUACCGAUGAAGGGAAGACCAUCAGGACCAGGAGGCAAACAGGCCUUUUUAGUGGUUUUGUUUCUCUUGAUCAGAAGAAACAAGAGGAAAACGGGGAGAGAUAGAAUUAGGAAGUCGAAUAAAGCCAUUGUGAUUGAUCUAUGUUCUUUCAAUCACCAUAACAAAAACUAAGAUACCUCACAGAUUCAUUAUGCACAUUCAUAUUUCACUGUGUAUUUCCACAUUUAAAUUAUUAUUUUGUCUUUAGUUGGAAAAAUCAUUUAGCUUUGUUAUUAUUUUAUUACUCUUGAAAGCUAAAAAACAUUAAAUUUUUGUCAACUUUUUAGCCUUUCAGCUAGUUUUUAAACAGUUACUUCAUUGCCCUUGGAGUUUAAAAAGCUUUGUAUUUGAUUUAGGGUUUUUUUGUCUUUUCUAUUUAGUUAUUUAAUUAUUACUGGGUGUCAUUGAUUAGGGGAAAUAGGGUGAUCAAAUUAAAAAAUAAAACUAGAAUCACGUGAAUAUUAUCUGCUAGUUUUAGAUGGGACACACGGUAUUAUUCGAUGGCCAAAACCUUACUUCUAGGAUAGUGGUCAGAGCGUCUCAAUAUCUCCUUUACGUAUAAAUGACUCAAAAUAGUUAUUGAUUUGACAUGUGUUGCUUUUUUUUUUCCUCUCUCCUGCUAGCCUUCAAGAAAAUCAAAUCAGAAGUUUGUUAUCCUUAAAAUUGUUUCCAUUUCUUUUUAUUAUAAUUUUUUUAUUUAAAAUAAUUUAUGAAAUUAAAUAUUACACUGUUAAUUAUUAUUUUUUACAAAUAAAAUCACCAACGAAUUGAAAAGUCCUCGAUAUUUGAGGGGUUUUAAAAUUUUUUUGAUUAAAUUAAAAUUUUAAUUAAAUAUUACAGACAUAAUCACCAACAUAUUAAAAAGUCAUCGUUGAUAUUUGGGGGGUUUCUAAUUUUUUUUAUUAAAUUAAAAAUUUCAAUUAAAUAUUACAAAUAAAAUCACCAGUGAAAUGAUUAAAAAUAUUAAAAUUUAAUUAUUCAUUAGUAAACUUGUCGGUAAAAUGCCUUAAUUAAAAAACUAGAAUCCCUCAUUUCACAACAAAAACAUUUCUUUCCUUUUUUCUUGUUCUUCUCUCUUCUCCUUAUGUUAAAAACACCACCAUCCUUUUCUUUUUUUCUUUCUCUUCUCUUUUUUACUCCUUCUCUUCUCCUCCAUGCAUAGGUAUGUCUUCUCAUUUUUUUUUUAGUUUUUUUUUUAAUUAACACACUUUAUGAUUUUUUUUUCUUUAUAGCUUCAUUCGCAACCACAUUAAGGUAAGAUUUGUUUUUCUUUUUUUUUGUUUUUUUUGCAUUAUAUUUGUUAUUUUAUUUUAUUUUUUAAAUUUUUUGUUCAUAAUAGUUGUAUGAAUGUUUUUGUAGGAUUUUUUUUUCAUAUGAUAUCAAUUUUGUUGGAUUUUGUUUUUCAAUUUUGUUGUUCAAUUUCAAUUAAAUUAUUUUAUUUGUUGCUAGAUUAUAGGUUCUGAAAUAGGUUUUCUUGGUUAGGUGAAUAUUGUUUUUAGUUGAUUUAUUUAUUUAUUUGUUGUGUUGUUUAUGUUUUUGUGUUAUUUAUUUGUUGCAAAUUUGUUUGAGUUGAUUUUCUUUUUCUUUUUUCCAAGCAAUUCAAUUCCUGAGUGUUAUGGAGUGUUGAUUUAUAUUAAUUUAAUUAUUUUCUAGUUUUGUUAAAUAAUUUUUUGAAAUAUUUUUAAAUAAUCAUUGACUAAAUUCCCUGUUGUAUUUAUGUCGGUUAUAUGACAAGCUUUCCGAGGAAAAUACUAACAAAAUGAAGCAGGCCAAGUUUUUUUAUGUGCUUUUCCAGUUAGUAAAUUCAUCGGUAAUAAAUAUUUUUUUUUAUUACUGAUGGACUCAACGACAUAUCAAAAACAAAUAUUAUCGAUGAAGCAUUUUUGUCUAUGAUCCCGUCAGUAAAUUCAUUGCCUAUAAAAUAAUAUUAUAAAUAUGGACAGAAAAUCCCAUCGGUAAAUAUAAGAAUCAUCUUUAUACCUUAUAUUUUAGAAAUACAUAAUUUUACUAAAAAAAUUAUCAUAAAGACCCAUUUAUUAUUAAAAUUGAUAAUAAUUUAGAAACUCUAAUAGCUAUUUCAAUUAAGACACCUGUAUAUUUUUAUUUGAUUUGAUUUUGAAUUUUUAGACUGAUUAAAAUAUAUUUUAUUAUUAGAAAUGGAGUUUUAGAGGUUCAUGUGAUCAUUUAGGUAAAAAAUGAUUGAAAUCCAGAUUUUUGAGUAUAAAAACUUUGAUCCCAAUUUUUUGAUUAUAAACGAACUAAGAGUUGUUUAUUUAGGUUGGCGACUCAACACCCAAUUUUUUUUUAAAAAAAGAUUACAUGUCAUUUUUCUUUUUUCUUUUUUUAAAAAACUCAUGGUCUUUAUAUAUCGAAAGACAUGUGGGCUCAAAUUUCAAGCAUAUUUGCUUCUGACCUUUUAAGUUUUUUACUUGAUUAUGUUUUUGUAUUUUGUAAUUAGAUUGCUUUUUUUAAUAAAUAAAUUUAUUAAAAUGAUGUUUAUAUAAUUAUCCAAUUAUGGUAUUAUUUUUAAAUAAUAUUAGUGUCUUUUAUGAUAAUAUUAAUGAUUAUUUUUGAAAUAAUUAAAUAUGAACCUCGAAUACUUAAGGCAAAUCAAAUAUUUAUAUAUUUUUUAUUUUGUUAUUGUAAGUUUUUCUAUAUUUCUUUUUCAAAAUUAGUAUUGUUAUAAUUUUAAUACAUUAGCAUCAAAUUUAUAGAUUCAUUAUUUUUUGAGUUUUGUUAUAGUAAAACUUCUUUUAGGAUUAUGAUGUUUUUAUUUAAAGAACAAUGCUUUUGAUAAAAAAUAAAUUUAUCAAGAAGAAGAAUGCAUUAGGAAAGGGGUUUUGAUUAAAGAGAUACCUUUUUUUUUUUUCAAAUCAUUAAUUUUUUAGAUAUUUAUUUUAAUUGCUUUUAGCUCUUAUGCAAUAAGCAACAUGGCUAAAAAAGGUAUAUUGUAAUUUUUGUUUUUAAGUUUAUUAUUCUUAUAUGUUUUAAUAUAUUCACAUCAAAACUAUCAAUUCAUUAUUUUUUAAAUUUUUUAUUAAGAUAAGUUCUUGUUUAAAAAACAAUACAUAUGAUAAAAAAAAAAGAGAAAAAAAAGAAAUGUGUUAAUAAGGUACAAAGCUUUUUAAGAAAUGGUUAUUUUUUCCCCUUAUUCUUAAUAUUUAUUUUUUUGGGUAUUGAUUUUAAUUGAUUUGAGUUUUUUAUGCAAUAAACAACAUUGUCAAAAACAAUACAUUAAUAAGAAAAAGACAUAUUUUUAUAAUAUUAUUAGGUUUAACCAAUCUUUUCUUUACUUGGAUCGGUCAAGCUACCCGGAUUAAUUGGUUUCAAGUUGACGUGCCAAACCUAUCCAGAUUUAAUAAUCAUGGUUGAUGUUAAAAGAUUGACAACUAUAUGUCAGGUUUUGGAUCUACAUCAAUGGAGGCGGUCUCUCUGUUCAAAAUGUCGACUUCAAAUUAAGAACAACCACAUUAUGGUGAGAAGUUUGAAGACCAAUAGUUACUUGAAAGCAUUUGAAUCUUUUUCGUCUUGACGAGCACAUCAUCAAUGUCUAUAUCUUCCCUAUUCACCACAGAUGGCAUUUCCCACACAAAUAUAUGAAGAAGAUUGACAACAUCCCAGCCGCACGUUACAGCAACUUUCGGUGCAGAGUUCUUUGACACGGCAGGUAUGGCUGCAUGAUGGUUUCCACAUGCUAGGCGCUUUCGACAUUUUCUUUAUUUUUGUGGCAGUUAUUUUGUAAUUAUUGAUAAUAAUGAAUGAUCAAAAGUUUGAAGCUUUUGCUGCGAGGUUGGCAUAUGGCUAAAACUCGCCUUGUUUGAACACAGAGCCGCCAUCCAUCACGAGGAGCAUAACUAUAUUAAGUAAAAUAUUUUAGUCCACCAAGUACUUCAUUAAUACCCCCCCCCCCCCGAAUUUAAAUAAAGAAAAGUUGUGUGUCUCCUUCUUCUUCUUUUUUCUCACAAUACAACAUUAUAUAGUAAAUUUACUUAGCAUUUCAUAAUUAUUUGUGUUAUAAUCUAAUUUCUGACCUUUUUUUUAUUUUAAUUAUUUUUAUUUUUUAAAAAAAUGAUAAAAAACAAGUAAAAAUAAAAUAAAUGAAGAAUAAAUUAAAAUUUGGGUUAAGGGCAACAUGAUUGGAAGUUUAAAGAUUUAAUUAAACUCUUGACUAAUUUAAUUAAUUAAAUCAAGGGCUUAAUUGGAGAAUUGAUUUAAUUGAAAUUUAGAUUAUUUUAAUUAAUGAAAUCAAGAAUUUAAUUGAAUAAUUGAUGAGUUUGAGGACUUAAUUAAAUUUUAAUUUAAUUAAUUAAAAGAAUCAGGAGUUUAAUUGAAGAAAUACCAAAGUUUAGAGCUUAUUCAAAGAAAAAUUGCUACAAAAUUAAAGUCCAAGGACUAAAUUGAAGAGUCCAAGCAACCAGGAUUGUUGUGUAAAUGGCACUAUAACUGAGGUUUCAAUUGAAAUUAAUCCAAGGGUAUAAUUAGAAAUUGAUUAUUACUGAUUAAGAUUCCAAUUGUUAAGUUUAAAACAUUGAGGGACCAAAGUGAAAAAUAGCCUCAAGGAUACAAACGGCGCUGUUUUGAUCCCACUGUUCACCAUCCCUUCCGUUUGGCACGGACCAGACCGAUUCAACAGGGAAAAAUCCGGCAGUUCAAGGCCACGACACCACGAUCUCUUGCCCACGAUCCCGCUCAUGGAUUGAUUAACAGGGGAACUCGUUUCUGCAUGCUCUGGCUCUAUUAAAGGCAGAGCAGAGCAGAGGCAACAGGGGGAAGAAGAAACAGAACCAGCGGGGAAUUUUGGGGACAAAAAAAGAGAGCAUAAAUCCAGAGCAAAAACAGAGACAAACGCCAUCAAAAAACCAAGAGGACCAACCGUUAACAUCACAAUCUUCUCGAACGCAGGGGACAGAGAGAAGAACGAAAACACAGGGGGGGGACAAAGAAAAAAAUAGAGAGGCGCGCAGAAAUACAGAAAGAAAUAACACGUAGAGCAGGGGAGAAAAAGGGCAGCAUACACACAGACAAGGAUUGAUUGUCCCUGCCAUCGUUUUAUCCCUGCAAAAACAAAAAAUAAAGACAACAAUCGGCAUCCACAGUAAACCGGCAUCUCCAUUGUUGUCUCCUUCGUCAUCUCAAAAUCUGCUGGAAGAAGAAAGCAGACCGCGGGCACAGGAGCAAAGCAAAGCAGAAGAAGGAGCAGAGGAGAAGAGGCAGUGUCGGCCAGCCAGAGCUUUGCCAUCGUCUCCAUCGAUUCCAGCAGACCAGGUAAGCAACUUCUUCAUCUGCAUUAUUUCAAAUGUCUUUUACACUGUGUCCCAAAAUAAAUAAAUAAAUAACAAAAUAAUAAAAAAAAUAAAAAAUGUGUAUGCACGAAUAAAAAUAAUAUAAAUUUAUUGGUUUAUUCACUGAUGACAGAGUCAUGAAUAAAAAUACCGGUUUAAAUUUAUAUUAUUUUUAUUCGUUGUAUUUUAUUUUAUUUAGCUAGAAAAAUAAAAAAUAUUUGCAUUCAUAAAUUUUUUUUUAUUAUUAUUUAUUUAUUCACUGGCGCUAGAGUUGGGAAUAAAAAAAUAUUGAUCUAAUUUAUUUUAUAGCUACGUAAUAUUUACCAACGCCAGAGUUGGAAAUAUUCGUAGUUGAAUAUUCACUGACGCCAGAGUCAGGAAUAUUAUAAGCAAAUUUUCAUAACAUAAACCAAUAAACGUUUAGUAAUUUAAGACGAAAUUAACAAUGCAGCCUGACUCAGGCAGGACGUUUAAGGAGUGAUAAUAUUUUUUCUUUUACGUAACUAGUCCCGAACCAUAUAAUGUUGAUCAGCUAGGAUUCCUAGUAAUCAUAAUAUUAUGUCGAUUUCUUAAAUAAAAUAAUUUUCCAUUAAAAAACAGGAUAGCAAAAAAUUCGAUAUAAAAACUCACAGCCCCUGCUCAUGCUGUAGGCUCAAACCAUUUCAAAACGACAAUCUUGCUCACGUGGCUUCAAAACAUUUUAAUUAGUAUCCUCUACUCGUAUAGUUGACUUAAAAAUAUUUUGAUCGGUAGCACUCGCUCAUGUAGCCAGUAUAAAAAUAUUUUAUCAAUAUUCCUUGAUCAUAUAAUCACCUUAAAAAUAUUUUGAUCAACAGCCUUAAGAUUUUAAAGGGGAGAGGUUUUAUAUAAAGUAAAUUUUGAGUUUAAACCUGCACAUAAGAGUGUGAUGACCCGGCUUGUAGUUAUGUCUAAUUUAUUAUAAAAUAAUAUUUUGAUAUUCAAAAAUUUGUUUUAGUUCAUAAAAAAUUAUAUUUUUUAGAUCAGCACGUGAAUUUAACAAUCAAUUCCAUAAGCUUUAUCACCCCUUAAAAGUCCUGCCUGAGAUAGAUUACACUGCUAAUUUCGUUUUAAAUUGCUAAAUGCUUAUUAGUUUAUGCUAUGAUAAUUUGCUUAUAAUAUUCCUGAUUCUGGCGCCAGUGAAUAUUAAACUACAGAUACUUCCAACUCUUGUGUUGGUAAAUAUCACAUAGCUAUAAAAUAAAUUAGAUCAAUAUUUUUUAUUCUCGACUUUAGCGCCAGUGAAUAAAUAAAUAAAAUAAAUUUAUUUUUACGCAUGCAUAUAUUUUUUAUUUUUAUAGCUAAAUAAAAUAAAAUACAACGAAUAAAAAUAAUAUAAAUUUAAACUGGUAUUUUUAUUCCUGACUAUAGCAUCAAUGAAUAAAUCAAUAAAUUUACAUUAUUUUUAUUCAUGCAUACACAUUUUUUAUUUAUUUUAUUUUUUCUACCUUUUUAUUUUUCUACCUUUUUUAUUUUUUUAUUUUUUAGGGCUGAGACCAGCUCAGCCCAAUGGGCUGGGCUAGACCCGGCCAGCCCAAGCCAGUGACCCGGCUGGCUGAGGCCUGCAUGCGUGAAUUAUUCACGCAUGCUGUGCACAGUGGGAAGGUAAUUAAAAUUACCUUCUCACCGUACUUAUGUAACUAAAAAUGAAAGAGAGCGAGAAGCUUACCUGGACGCGCAGGAACGAAGACGAUGACGAGGCGUGGUGGCUGGAUGUUCUCUUCUCUUUUUUUAUUUUUUGGUUUGUUUCUGUUCGUUCACGCCCUGUAUAAUCUUUGUCUAUUUUCUCCUUCCUCCUCCUGUUCGUUCGUCUCCUCUCUGCUUCUGCCUGUCCGUUCGUUCUCCCCUGUGUUUUUCUCGUUUUCUCCGUUCUGUGUGUGUUCUGUUCUCGGUGUUCCUGCCUUUUUUUUGUGCUCCUUCUCAAGCAAUAACAACAGUGGCUCUGAAAUUGGAGCCACCGAAGAAAAGGUCGAGAGCGUCUCCUUUUGAAAUUGGGUCUGGGUUUUUGCUCUGUUUGUGGCUUGCGUUUUUUUGGUUUUUUCUGGGUUUAGCUUCAGCCUCUCCUGGUUCUGUCUCUCCCCCCUUAUUUCCCCAGGUUUUAGUCUCUGUUCGGCUCUGUGAUCUGCCGGUUCUUUCCCCCAGUCCUCCCUCCUGGUUCUCUUUCGUCUGGUUUUAGCUUGAGUUUUUCCUCGGUUUCUCGUUCAACCCCCCUCUCCUUUUUUUUCUCUCCCUGUUCCCCUGCUACUCUCUGCCUUUUAAAAGGCUAGAGAGCUUACAUUACCCCACGAACGGGAUCGUGGUCCACGAUUUGCUGCAGAUUUCCUGUUGAAUCGGUUUCUUCGUGCGAAACGGAAGGGAUGAAGAACAAAGCUUCCAAACGGCGCCGUUUGUAUCCUUGAGGCUAUUUUUCACUUUGGUCCCUGAACGUUUUAAACUUAACAAUUGGGAUCUUAAUCAGUAAUAAUCAAUUUGUAAUUGUGCCCUUGGAUUAAUUUCAAUUGAACCCUCAGUUAUAGUGCCAUUUACACAACAAUCCUGGGUUUCUGGACUAUUCAAUUUAGUCCUUGGACUUUAAUUUUCUAGAAAUUUUUCUUUGAAUAAGCUCCAAACUUUGGUAUUUCUUCAAUUAAAUCCCUGAUUCUUUUAAUUAAUUAAAUUAAAGUUUAAUUAAGUAUUCAAACUCAUCAAUUCUUCAACUAAACUCUUGAUUUCAUUAAUUAAAAUAAUCUAAAUUUUAAUUAAAUCUAUUCUCCAAUUAAGCCCUUGAUUUAAUUAAUUAAACUAGUCAAGAGUUUAAUUAAAUCUUUAAACUUCCAAUCAUGUUGCCUUUAACCCAAAUUUUAAUUCAUUCUUCAUUUAUUUUAUUUUUACUUGUUUUUCAUCAUUUUUUUAAAAAUAAAAAGGUCAAAAAUUGGGUUAUGACAGUUGCCCCCUCUUUAUAAUAUUUACUAUACAAAGACAUUGGAAAAUUUUCAUUUUCUUUAACUUUGUGUAGUAAAUUUAUAAAGAAAAGUAGAUAUGGAAAUGGAGUCUUGAAAACUUUGAAAACAGUAGAUAGACAUAUGACUUUUACAGAAAAAACAUGUUAUUUGAAAGACGAUCCAUUUUUUUUUUUUUUUUUUAAAUGGAUCAAAUUGCUUUGAAUAACCUACCCGAUAAUAAAAAAUCAUGAAAAAUCAUGAGUGGUUUAAUUGUUGCAGGCUACUGGUAUUACCAUGCAUAUGAGGGACGCUCUCUGCCUCGUGCCUAAGGCCUAUGCUGUGAUGGGCAAUGAUGCGUAAAGGAAUUGUGGACAUCAUCAUGAAAUCGUGACUCUAUGAAUAAAACACGAAGCCGCCCAUGAUCAGUAGUUUUUGGUUUUUCAAGGGUUGCAUGCUGUGUGUACUGAUUAGAAUUAACGACGGAGCUUAAUAUGAUUAGAAUAAUUUUCACGCAAGCUCCGUUAAAUUUUUAAGCAGCCCAUGCUUAAUCUAAUAAUGGAUCUUUCAUUAAUACAUGUCUGGAUUAUGCUCCAUUCUUUAUUUUAGCAAGCUCAUAUUGAACAAAUUAAUGGAAAUAGCUAAUAAUCAUGAGCUCCGGUGCCUUUAUGCCCCAUUUUCCGGCCCAUCACACACAAGCUUAGGCACAAGGCAGAGAGCAUCCCUCAUAUGAGGAACAAUACCGGGAAGCACAUCAUCCAUGUCUAUAUCUUCCACCCCAGAUGGCAUUUCCCAGUCAAAUUUAUGAAGAAGAUUCGCAAGUGAAAGCUCCACAGUGGCGAGUGCAAGAAAUAUCCCAGGACAAAUUCUCCGACCAGCACCAAAUGGUAUAAGCUCAAAAUCAUUUCCUCUCACAUCAAUGGAACUGCCCAAGAAUCUAUCAGGAUCGAACUCAUAUGGGUUCUCCCAAGCUUCCGGGUCCCUUCCAACAGCCCAAGCACUCACGUAAACUAAGGUCUUGGCUGGUAUUUCGUACCCUCCUACGGAACACUCCUUGGUUGUUUCUCUUGGGACUAGUAGUGGUGCUGUUGGUUGCAAUCUCAUGGUCUCUUUAACCACAGCUUUCAGGUAAGGCAACUGUUGAACAUCAUCUUC
rnacentral:lncRNA from 1 species